rnacentral:lncRNA from 10 species
GUUUCCUUACAGGGUGUGAAAGAAGAGUCAUCAUUCCUUCAAUCUAAAAGGAUUACAUCAAUUCAGUUCCAGAAAAUGGAGUGACUGCCAAUUAAAAAUGUGGGAAGAGAAAGUCUCCAUCUCCCUGAAGGAACAUACAGAGUCCUUUUAAGAUAAGUACAUUUAAAGAAAAUCGUUAUGCACAACACUAACUUCAUUGUAGGUUUUUGGCUCUCUUUCAUAUGACUAUGUCUUUGCAGAUGCCUUUAGUACCAGUGGGGAGUCUAUACUGGAAAUGCAUUCUUCGCCACUUGGCAGAGUAUUCACAGUAAAUGAAUAUCAGAGCUAGGAUUUUGUUGUUAGUUUUUUAUCUGUGGCUGGCUAAAAAGACAGACUUUUACCUACAGGUUGGAUUAUACUAAACAAAAAGAAGGAUAAGCAGAUUUUCUUUUAAGGCAAGACCAAAGGAAGGAAGGAAGACCAAAUCAAAUUUUCAUUUUGAAACAAUGAACAAUAGCAGACAAGUUGGUUAGCAGGGACACUACGUUUAAAUAUUUGUGUGUGUUUGCAUGUGGGGGGGUCUGUGUGUCUCAAAAUAGGAGCAGAAGGGCAGACUGAACACGUGUUCUUUCCCACCCCAAUUACUCUGAUAUGAUCAAAUAAAUAAAUACAUUCGUAACGCACUAGAAAACAAGAAAGGGUGGUGUCAACAUCAAAGAUGUUGAGAUAUUUAUAAAAGAUAUAGAGCAGAUAGGAUUGAAUUCUUCAUAAAAAAAAAGACCAGAAAAAAACACAUAGGAGAGAGAGAGUGCAGAGAUGAGAGUGCUUAUGGGAACUUCAGGCAGCCUUAGGAGGUCAAGGAGCAAUUGUCACAGUGAUUAACUGGGGCAGUGCAUUUAGAGGGACUAGGCUGAUCAGCCAGCCCCCCUACCUCCUGACUAAGCUGAGCAAAAGAGAGCAGGAAUUGCCCUCAGGCUAAACAGAUGAGCAUGGGCUCUGAGACCAAAGAGAUGGGACAAUUCAUUGUCACAAGUAGCUAGUGAUACCCUUGAGACCAGCUGAAACCUCCUCCUAGCAGAAUGCCCUGUCCUGUCCCCACGAUCACUGCAGAUAAACUCCUGUAAUCCGAAUCAAUUUCUACUAAAAUGUGAACAAGUUAUUCAAAUAUGUAUGCCAACAAAACUAAGAUUCCAAGAUAAAGAAAAAUGUGGGAUAUAAGAAAGCAUGAUAAGAAAAAAAUAUAUAUAUAGUUAAGUUUAAAUCUUUUUUCUUUAAUUUCAGCUUUUAUUUUAGAUAUGAGGACGGGAGCUACAUGUGUAAGAUGUGUACACAUAAAUGUGUACAUUAUAUGUGUACACAUAAAUGUGUACAUUAUAUGUGUACACAUAAAUGUGUACAUUAUAUGUGUACACAUAAAUGCUGAUGAACUCUAUAGUCAAAAACUAAUUAUAGUUGGAGGCAUAUUUUAAGAAUUUAAAAGUAAAACUUCUGGUUAAACUUAAUGGAUUAAGUCUACAUAUUUACUUUAUUUUAUUUUAGAGUGCUACUAAAAACUUAAAAGUAAAUUAAACAGGCCAGGCGUGGUGGCUCAUGCCUGUAAUCCCAGCACUUUAGGAGGCCAAGUCGGGCGGAUCAGGAGGUCAGGAGAUCAAGACCAUCCUGGCUAACACGGUGAAACCCCGUCUCUACUAAAAAUACAAAAAAUUAGCCGGGCAUGGUGGUGGGUGCCUGUAGUCCCAGCUACCCGAGAGACUGAGGCAGGAGCAUGGCGUGAACCCGGAAGGUGGAGCUUGCAGCGAGCUGGGAUUGCGCCACUGCACUCCAGCCUGGGCUACAGAGCAAGAUUCUGUCUCAAAAAAAAAAAAAAAAAAAAAAGGAAAUUAAACACGUACACAGGUAUGCACACACAUACAAAGAGACAUUUUAAACCAAUAAAAGCUAAAAGAAUGGGAAAGGAAAUGACAGCAAAUGAAGUGUGGUAAAAAGAAAAGAAAAGAAAAAAGAAAUGAAAGAAUAAAGAAAGCAGCUGUGUAAGUGGUAACUGAUUUGCUAAAUCUGAAAAGGCUAAAUUUUAUGCCUGAAGAGAGGCAUGCCAACAGGAAGCAAGACAAUUUGUGCAAAAGAAACCCAGAAUGACUUAGGAAUUGGAGGCUCUGAGUAUCUCUGAAGGUGAGGGUAAAGGGUAGAACUGAAGAAUGAACUCUUAGAAGGAAGUUUGACUACUGUAAUCCCAGCACUUUGGGAGGCUGAAGUGGGUGGAUCACUUGAACUCAGGAGUUCGAGACCAGCGUGGGCAACAUGGCGAACCCCCGUCUCUACCAAAAAUACAAAAAUUAGCCAGGCGUGGUGGCAUGCGCUUGAGGUCCCAGCUACUUGGGGGGCUGAGGUAGGAGGAUCACUUGAGCCAGGGAGGCAGAAGUUGCAGUGAGCCAAGAUCUCACCACUGACUGUACUCCAGCCUGGGCAACAGAGCCAGAUCCUGUCUCAAAAAAAAAAAAAAAAAGAAGAAGAAGAAGGAAGUCUGACUAAAUAAAAAACAAUCAGACCCCCAAGUGUCCUCCCUUAUUCCAAUAUCUAGGUGAUUACCUCUAACUAAGCUGAGAAGACAGAAAAGUAAUGAUUCUGGAGAAAUUAAAUCUGAGAAGCUCUGAGCUCCAGGAACAGGAAGCACAGCUAAUAGAUUAAAUGAAAUCCUAUGGAAAGAACUCCCGCUAGCCGGGCAUGGUGGCUCAGGCCUGUAAUCUCAACACUUUGGGAGGCUGAGACGGGAAGAUGUCUUGAGCCCAGGAGUUAGAGAUGAGUCUGGGCAACAUAGUGAGACCCCAUCUCUACUAAAAAUUAAAAUUAAAAAAAAAAAAACGGCCAAGUAUGAUGGUGUGUAUCUGUAGUCUCAGCUACUUGGGAGGCUGAGGUGGCAGUAUUGCUUGAGCCCAAAAGGUUGAGGCUGCAGUGAGCCAUGUUCAUACCACUGCAUUCCAGCCUAGGCAACAGAUCCAUGGACACAUAAAAAAAAAAAUGGCCUCCCAGAACCCUCCAAAUUUGACGGUGGGAUUAUUAUUCCUAUUUCACCCAAGACAGGAGACUAGAGAAGUCCUCUCUGAGGAAACCAUCCUGUCUAAGAGACAGAACUACUGUUGAGUUUGAAUUCAGUCUGUACACACAGUCUUCUUGAAUGAUUUGUUUAUGACCAGUGCGUUCUGAGAGUCCUGGUACCUCUCUGAAUGAAUGAUACCUAUGCCAUAUCAGCCUUGGGGGCCCCCAAUUAAUGAGUUAGUUACUAGAAAACUCAGCAGUCAAUAAGACUCAGCCUCAUACACAGAGCAUUUGAUCAGCUAUUUACAGUAUCAUUCUUAUUGUGAAGAGUCAACCAAAGAUUACCAGGUAUUAAAGUACGCCACCAAGAUGAAAAGCAAAGACAUAAAUAAAUAAAUAAAUAAAUAAAUAAUAUAACUCGGAGGGAAAAGAGAUAAUUCAAAGGGCAGAAUAAAACUCUUAAAAAGUUACACUUUCAGGGAAUGCUUACAUACUAUUGGUGGGAAUGUAAAUGAGUACAACCUUCAUGAAAAACAUUAUAGCAAUUUCUCAAAUAAGUAAAAUUAGUACUUUCAUUCAAUCCAGCAAUUUCACUAUUUGGUAUCUACCCAAAGGGAAAACAUCAUUAUAUAAAAAACAUACCUACACUCAUAUGUUUAUCAUAGCACUAUUCACAACAGCAAAAAUAUGGAAUCAACCUAAGUGUCCACCAAUGGAGACUGAAUGAAGUUAUAUAUAUACACACAUUUUAUAUAAAUAUAAAAAAUACAUUUUUAUAUAAGUAUAUAAAGUAUGUAUUUAUAUAUGUUUUAUAUAUAUAUAUAUAUAUAUAUGGCAUGGAAUACUACUCAGCCAUAAAAAAGAAUAAAAUUAUGUCUUUUGCAGCAACGUGGAUGGAACUGAAGGCCAUUAUCCUCAGUGAAUAACUCAGAAAGUUAAAUACUGCAUGUUCUCACUUAUAAGUGGGAGCUAAACAAUGGGUACAUGUGAACAUACAGAGGGAAAUAAUAGACAUUGGAGACUUCAAAAAGUGGGAGGGUAGGAGGGGGUGAGGGUUGCAAAACUACAUAUUGGGUACAAUGUUCACUCUUUGGGUGACGGGUACACUGAAAGCCCAGACUUCACCACUUCACAUACAAUAUAUGCAUGUGAGAAACUUGUACUCCCUAAAUAUAAAUAAAUAAAUAAAUAAAUAUUAUAACCUCAGAGAAAUAUAAAAAGAUAUUAUAUCCACAAAACAAAUCAAACAAGAAUAAGAUGCUAUUUUUUAAAGAGACCAUGAGAAAUAUAUGAAAGGAUUCUUUCUGAUUGACCAGAAUUUUUUAAGUAGGUAGAAUUAGAAACAUAAAGUUGUAGAAAUUGCCCAGAAAUUAGAUCGAAAUAACAGAGAUGGAAAAUACAACAAAUGGGGGGAAAAAACACAAUUAUAGGAUUAUACACAGGAGAUCAGAGAUCUGAAUUAUUGUUUCAGAAAAAAUAAAUUGAGAGGAAAAAUAUCAAUAAUACAAGAAAAGGUACCACAUAAAUGAAAGAUUAUACACAUUAAAACCUUCAGCAUGACAGCAAAUAUCUCAGAGUGACUUAAUGCCAUACACUGAAGCAUGGAGUUUGCUAGUAAAGAAUUACAAAUACUUACUGACCAAAGAUAGUCAUGAGCUCAACUGCUUUAUGGUAAAAUAAUUAGCAAUUGAGUCUUCCUGCAAUUGAGGAUGUAAUCAGUCAUGAGACCACAUCAUGCCAAUUUUCAUGACCAGUUGAGUUCAGAAACUUUGUUUCUUUGUGGUUCAUAGAAGUAUUACUCCUAGAUAAGAAGACUACUGUCUUUCGCUUUGAGACGGGAGUCUCUUUUAGAACUCCAAACAUCAAAUGUUCAAGUCUGAAAGCUCAUAACUGUCCAAAAGGAGUUACCCACUAAGUGACUUGAAUUACGCCUAGAAUUCAUUUCUCUAUCUGUUCAAUUUUCAUCCCCCAUGAGAAUCUUCAAUAAUGCUAGAGAAAUAUCUUCAACAACAGCAGCGUGAUGACUUGCAAACAUUUACUGAGUAGUUCCCAUGGAGGCAUGAAAAUACACUGGAAAGCAGGCUCAUCAGAUUACAGGGAGAGAUGAGCAAAGCAAUUUAUUUAUUUAAACUUUUUAUAUGAAAAAUUUCAAAUAUAUUUUGAAAUUUCAAAAUUCAAAAAAGAAAAAAGAAUAUAAUAAACUCCAUGUACUCUGCUUCAAUAAUUGUCAACUCACAGUCAAACUUGUUUUAUUUACACCCCCAUCUAAUUCCAUUCCCCCCCACACCACUGGAUUAUUUUGAAGCAAAACCAAGCCAUCACAUCAUUUCAUCUUAUGUAUAUCUUCAUAUGUAUAUGUAUAUAUGAAGAUAUACAUGAAUUUAUACAUGAAGAUGAAAUGAAUAUAUAUAUAGGAAUGAAUAUAUAUGAAGAUGAAUAUAUUUGAUAUAUACAUAUAUAAUCAGAAAUAAGAACUUUUCCUUAAAUCUAAGCACAAUUCAUUAUCAUAAUUAGAGGUGAUUAACAAUAAUAUAUAAUAUUACUAACUAUUCAAUCACAUGUGCAUGUGUGUGUGUAUGUUUUGGAAACACUAUAGGUUAAAACAUAGUUGAUUGUUUUAAUUCUUGUAGUUAUUAUUAUUUUAUUGAGGCUCACAUCAUCUCAUCUUUGCCUAGAAAAAGGCUUCCCUAGCUGGCUCCAAAGUGUUUUAGACAUAGCCCCAAAAGUCACUGCUAGCUCUCUUGCCCUUCAGUAUGAUAAAUUAUUCCAGGUUCAUGUUACACAAUUCCUGCCCCAGAUCUGUGAUCAGUUCUCGCCCAAAGAUCCCAGGUUCCUUUUAGUGCUCACAGUCUGAGCACUAGAUUUUGAACCUAGUAAAUGAACCCAGAGAUACUCAUUUUACCUACCUUGUCAUUAUUGCUAAGUCUUUUCAGUCAAUAGAGCCAGGGAAUUUAUAUUUUUACAUUAAAAUACAUCACAAUUUCAAUUAAUAAUUACAAUAUAAUUUAAAGACUAGAAGGUUUCUUUUUGGCUCUGUUUUUGUUUUCUGAGACAAGUUCUGGCCAUCACCUAGGCUAGAGUGCAGUGGCCCAAUUACAGCUCACUGCAACCUUGAAAUCCUGGGCUCAAGCGAUCUUUCUGCCUUGGCCUUCUGAGUAGCUGGAACUACAGGCAUGCACUACCAUGCCCAGCCAUUUAAAAAAAAAAUCUCUUUUGUAGAAAUGGGGUCUUGCUGUGUUGCCUAGGCUAGUCCCAAACUCCUGGGCUCAAGCAAUCCUCCCACCUUGGCCUCCCAAAGUGUUGGGAUUAUAGGUGUGAGCCACCACAGCUGGCCAAGACUACAAGGUUUUUACUUAAACGUUUUUUCUCUUAAAUCUAAAUUACCUUUCUUCCAUACCAAAAAUCCUAGUUCCUGAUACCAACAUAAUUUCACUUGCUUUAUCCCAUAAUGCACACAACAGUCUCAAGAAGAACGAGAGAGAGAGACAGAGAGAGAGAAAGAGAGAGAGAGAAAAGAGAAAGAGAGGGAGGGAGGGAAGAAAGGAAGGAAAGAAGGAAAGCAGGAAGGCAGGCAGGCAGAUGUAAACAGUAACAACACUAUCAUCAAUAAUAAUUUUAAAAAACAAUGUAAAAUUGUUUCACAAUUCUUUUUCUUAGGAGAUAUCUACAUACUGUAUCAUUUGAAAUCAUUCCUCUCUUUGCCAAGAAACAGAUGAAAUGCAAA